UUUGAUUACUCUUACUUAAUCAUGUUAUGCAUGGAAGCUGUCAGGAAGAUUGAUUUCCAUUGUCAGUGAAGAGGGCCCAUUUUAGAUUAUUGGCCAUGAAGAGAGGAUACCAAGAAUCUUCUUCGUCGGGUUCUCUUAGACCGCCUCAAUCCAAAAUCAGACACAACCCAGAAGAUUUUGUUGAGGGAAUAGUUGAUAUGAUCGAGCGGUUGAUGUUGGGAGCCAAAGAUUAUGUUGCACUUUUUUUUUUUUUUUUUUAAGACUUGAAUUUUUUAGUACAGUGUAUUUAAGGAUGGUUAAUGGAUAAUGUCUAUUAUAAAUUUAAUUAAUUUGUUAAUUUUGUUA